UGGGCUGGACAACCGAGGCUGCAACGCCGUUUGUCGCAUGCAUCGAGUUCUAUCAAAUCAAUCGCAGCCAGUUGGAUUACAGAUUCGUAUUGAUCGUUGACAAGAAAGUCUGAACGUGUAAUGCGUGACAAGUGGAAGAAGAAGCGAAUGAGGAGAUUGAAGCGAAAACGGAGAAAGAUGAGGGCGAGGUCAAAGUGAAGAGAACUCGUCGAUGUCUUCGAGUUUUAGCGGCUUGCGACCACGAGAAGCGUGACUUUUGGUCGUGCGUAUGAGAGCGAGGACUUUCUGGACGUCUUGUGUAAACAUAGCCUGGGUGCAUGUUGUUCCUACUGGUUGUAAAAUAAAGUUGAAAUCAUGCGCCA